UAGAAAGUGGUGUAGUGGAAGCACCAAGAGUUUUGAUCUCUUCAGUAAAGGUUCGAGUCCUUUUUUUCUAU
rnacentral:tRNA from 1 species